GUAGCAUGUGAAAGUAGCGGACAUGGCAGCUUCAGUGGUUCAACCGUAUAUGUUCGAACCUGAAUCGGAUCCUGAAGAAGGAGAGGAGGCUCCUGCAGUACCCCAGACUCCGAGAAUUCAGCAGGAUGCUUCUGAAUGGUGCACAUGUGGAAAUUGUGCCACAAUGCAGUCAGAGCCGGAGAACUUAUGCUGUCAGGAGGUGCCUCAGGUUACAAGACGGCUGGAACAGCUGGAUGAAAGGCCUCCCUGCAUGAUAGACCAUCCAGGUUUAGAACCGGUUUGUCUGAAUGUGUUCUCGCUGCAGAACGCAUGCAACAUCUACAGAGCUGACUACGGUCCUUUGCGACUACGGGGGAUAGAGCAGUGAGUUUUACAUAUAAUAACCUACUUGACUGUUCAUACACAAUAAACUAA